UAUUACUUUGUUUCAAAUAUAUUCUUUUUCAGAUACUCCAUCCAUGCAUCUUUUGAUGACAGCUCCAUGGAAUUCCAUUCAAAGUGAGGAAUCUGUAAGACAGAGUUUGCAUGCUCCACCACCUUUGAGAAGAAGACUGGCAGCCAGGUGCAUAAAUGGCACAUACCACAACAAGGGGGCUGUGCCACCACUACCCCGCCCUUGUCCGUGGAUU